UUUGACAUUCAUGGCUGCUUAUGCUACUGGUAUCACCUCACAUGACACCUACCAGUAGCAGAGUCCAGAUACCUGCAAAGGAGAAUGAAGCAGAGUUGACUUAACUCCUUGGAGUCUGAAGAAAAGUAUGAAUGCUGCCAUUUUUGAGACCAUGACAUCUGGUUUCUUCUUGAAUUUGAGCAGUGAGGCCAAUGCUGUGCACUUUAGAUGCAUCCUAUCUUACACAGUAGCAUGAUGAGGGAUGAGUGACCAGCCCUGGGUGCCUACUGAGAGAGCAGUACCGUAGUUGCCCUGGCUCCUGCCACCACUCCUCCUUCUGCUGCCUCCUGGGAUGAUCUUACAGCAAGUUUGGACAUGGGCUGGCUUUUCAUCUGACUCUUGCUUCUGUUGGAUCAAAACAUGAAAUAAGAAAAAUGAAAGCUAAUCAUCCUGUUUCCUAGCAAGAAAAUAAAGAAUCAUUUGCUUGGUGCAUGCUCUUACUUUGUCCACCCUAAAA